rnacentral:rRNA from 1 species
ACUCCUACGGGAGGCAGCAGUGGGGAAUCUUGGACAAUGGGGCAACCCUGAUCCAGCCAUGCCGCGUGAGCGAUGAAGGCCUUAGGGUUGUAAAGCUCUUUCACCGGUGAAGAUAAUGACGGUAGCCGGAGAAGAAGCCCCGGCUAACUCCGUGCCAGCAGCCGCGGUAAUACGGAGGGGCUAGCGUUGUUCGGAAUUACUGGGCGUAAAGCGCGCGUAGGCGGGCUGUUAAGUCGGGGUGAAAUCCCGGGCUCAACCCGGAACUGCCCUCGAUACUGGCAGCCUAGAGAUCUGGAGAGGCGAGUGGAAUUCCGAGUGUAGAGGUGAAAUUCGUAGAUAUUCGGAGGAACACCAGUGGCGAAGGCGGCUCGCUGGCCAGAUACUGACGCUGAGGUGCGAAAGCGUGGGGAGCAAACAGGAUUAGAUA